GCCACCACCUCUCUGUCUCUCUCUUUCACUGCCACUUUCUUACACUUCUCUCAAAAAAAUCUCAUUAUCAGAGUUGUUCUUAAAUUCCUUUUCUUCAUGUUUUGAUCCAGUCUAAGUGGCCUGUGCUGAGAUAUAUUCCUGUUUCUGGGUGAGACCUUUGCAAAUCCAGUUUUGGCGACUCAUGAUUUCUAUCUGUCAGCUUAAAUCAAAGGAUUACACAGUCCUAAUGGGUCGCGAAUGUUAUGCAUUUCUGUGGAUUAGGAAAAGCCUCCAAACACAUUUGAAUGAAAUGAAAAAUACAUGCUCAAGCUCAGGCAGAUUUUUUUGGUCACAUUGUUGCACACACAGCACUGUUGUUUCACAAAACAGAGCCUACAAUAUAUUCCUGUACAAGAAGACACUUUUAUGCAUGGAUGGAUUAUUUAGCAUGCCUACUGGGCAAGUGUCAGGCCCCCCUGGCCUCCAUCUGCAAAAUGUCACCCAAAUUAACAUCAGGAAGAUACUCAAAAUGACCAAAAAGAGACACUGAAAGACCACAAAGAGAUGCAAAGGGACUGCAAAGUGACACAAAAUAACUACAAAAACAGGUAAAACAACCACAAAGAGACAUAAAACAACUACAAAGAGGCACAAAGCAACCACAAGGUGACACAAAAUGACUACGAAGCAGCAAAAAAUGACCAAAUAAGGCACAAAUUACCACGAGAGACACAAAACAACCACAAAGAGACAAUAAACAACCACAAAGAGACAUAAAACAACCACGAAAAGACACAAAACAACCACAAAAACAUGCAUUACAGCUACAAUAAGAUGCAAAACCACCACAAAGUCUGUGUGUCUUGCUCCUGUGUAGGAGAGGUGGUGGAGCCCUUUGCAUAUCUGUACCCAGGGGCCCAUUGUCUCAUAAUCAGCCCAUGCUUUUAGUGCUUGCAGUCCAUCCUCUGAAGGGGAGUCUUUGUGUUUUAUUGCUCGCUGUAAUGGUCAGUAUCAGUGGGGGGUUUAUGAAGUUCUGAUUCUACAAAUGCCAGAGAAGAAUCAGUGUUGAAUCUACAGCAGAACACGGCUCCCCCUUUUCCUUCCUGCCCCAUAAAUCCAGUUUUUCCAUGCUCACAACAUCACACAGUGCCUGCCACUUUCCGCCUGCAAGACUGGUCCUGCUGGCAAGACCAGCUUCACUCGAUAUUUAAACCAGACUGCUGCGGGGUCUGGACCAGCUGCGUGUUAUCAAAACAUCUGAAUGGACGUAAGAGAAAAUGAGGGCAAAGCUGUGGGUUUUGUGUAUAGUUUGCUUCUCCUCUGACUGUGCACUUAUUAUCACUUCUACAGAUUAAUUCAUGUUCUGCAAUGCCUGCAGCGUAAACCUGUGUGUUCGGGUGGGCUUGCUGCCAUGGGAAUCUACUGUAAGUGAAACUCAGAGGGAAGCCUGUAUGGGCGAUGUUGGCCUCAGUUGAUUAACACCAUUAAUUAAUUAAUCACUGAUUACCCCGAGUGAGUACAGUGAGAAACCAUUACGUAACACCACUUACAGAAGCGAUAUGGUCUGCUCUGCUCUCUAUAACACAGAAUGAUUAAUUCCGAUCUCUGUUGCUGCUGCUGUUUUCCACACAGUGUCUGCUGUUACCUAACAGUGUUUUUGCACUGGACCUGAAGCCAAGGUGCAGAACGGAUCAGGAGUUCUUGCACUCAUGUUAAUUUCAGUGGCUGUUUGACCCUUACAGGAACUGUGUUAUCCACGCACACACCCUGAUCGCGUCAGACACAGCGCAAUUUAGGUAUUUCACAGCAUUGUGAAAGAGGCCUACACAGAGAGAGUGUUUCUUCACUGGGGACUGUGUCUCUGGUACACAGGGGCAGUUUACAUAAUGGCAUCCUUUUGUGGUUACAUGUACAAUAUAGGAUGUUUCUCUCUUCCUGCGUCAGCACCGACCACGUCCACGCACGGCUGCUCAAAGGUCGCACGGGAAGCAGGCCAAGCAAAGCACCCCAGACAUCCCUCUCCUCUCCAACGCUUUCCAGCUCCUCCUGGGGGACCCCAAGGUGUUCCCAGGCCAGACGAGAUAUGUAAUCCCUCCAGCGUGUUCUGGGUCUGCCCCGGGGCCUCCUACCAGUAGGACGUGCAGGGGGAGGUGCCCAGGAGCAUCCUAUCUCUAAGGCUGAGCCCAGCCACCCCACAGAGGGAACUCAUUUCCACCGCUUGUAUCCACAAUCUCAUUCUUUCGGUCACUACCCAGAGUUCAUGACUAUAGGUGAGGGUUGGGACGUAGAUGGACCAGUAAAUCGAAAGCUUUGCUUUCCAGCUCAGCUCCCUCUUCACCACGACGGACCGGCGCAGCACCCGCAUCACUGCAGAAGCCGCACUGACCCGCCGAUCCAUCUCACGCUCCAUUCUACCCUCACUCAUGAACAAGACCCCAAGAUACUUGAACUCCCUUGCUUGUAUUCAGUGGUUGUUAAAAUUAAAGUACUUAUGUGUCAUAUUUGCUUCCAUAAUUUCUGCUUUCCAGCACUUUGGGAAACAGGGAAAGCUCGAGGAGAGGAGAGGAAGCUUACCAGCACACAUUUAGACAACUGGAAGUAUAAUCUUGACCUAUGUUGUGCUUCUAACUUGAUAUUUUUAAAAUCUUACAUACCUAUAUAUAUUGUGGCAAUUUUACACAAUAUCCAUACAUGCCACUAUCUCCAGGACAGGUUUCACCAAGACAAGAAAAGCAACUUUCAUUGUUUCAAGCAGCAGAAAAAGGAUUUAAAUAUAUCCUACAAAAUUCUGAGCCAAGAUUAAUAUCAACUUUUUUAUCACAGUCCUAGGUUCAGUCACUUCGUAAACGUUGAAUGACACACUUGAGUGGAAACUUUUUUGGCCUUUUUAUGGCAAUAAAACCAUAAAGAUUAAGAAACAAGGUCAAAGUUGUAGAAGCCACCUCAGUUUCCUUCCACAGCGGUGAAGAAAACAAAUUCCGGAGAAGCUCACUGUUCAAUGUCUGAAGGAGAUCAUAAAACUGAUAAUUACACAGAGUACACACUGUUCACAGUGUUAAAAUGGACAGAGAGAGAGAGGUCACCAGAGAUUGAUAGAUAUGAAAUGCUUUGUAUGAUAUCUGCUAUCUAGAUGUGUGGCUAUGUUACCGCAGCACCUCUGUUCUCUCACUCUCGUCUUACUGUCCACAAGGUCUUAUUACUCAAAAUAUUUGGGUUUCAAAUAAGGACGUCCUGUGUUAUCAUUAUCAGUGCUCUGCUGUCUGAACAUAUUUCAUAACUCCUGCUUUGUCUGUGUUUUGUGCAUGUUGUUGGUGCUGUGUUAAUGAUCUGUUUCUGUGUCAGACUAAUUGUAUGUUUGAUUGUAAACACUGGUGUUUUUUGUCAAAGUGUGUAUCUGUCUGUGUGCAUGUAUUUGAGUCAAGGUCAGGACGUUGUUCCCAUCUAGAAGACCUGUGACUUCAUUUUCAACAAUUACAUAACUCCCCUCUUAUCUCUCCUCCCAGACUUUCCUUCAACAGAGGCUAAUUUUCAUUCGCUGACUUUUAGCAGCUUUCUUCAAUCCCCAACAGUAUCAAGCCUCUUAUCUCACAUCGGGUCAGACCAGCAGUACGUAUAGGUUUGAUUGCCCUCUUCUCUCAGAGUGUGUGUCACUGGCGGUGAACAGCAGCGCUCUCCAUUAAUCACAGGCUGAUCGCAGCUGAACCUGAAACUCGGGCAGAUUGCUCGGCGUGUUGGCCUCCGUCCCUCUUCAGUUUCCCUUCAGCUAAGCUCAGGAGGACCACAGAGUGGAUGGUGCAUUGAUGUGAAGCAGUAAUGGGCUCGUGUCGAACACAGCCAGCCAACAGCAUUAAGGUUACCAGCAUGGGUUUCGGGCCUGUCUUUUAAAUGUGGCAGCAGUCACUGAAUAGCAGUGUGGCUGCUCUCGCUGCCAUGCCUCCUUGGCCUCCCUGUAUUGGCUCUGUGUGUCUGUCACUGCGGAUCGAUGCAGCACUACAAAAGCACACAGUGUUCAGCUCUAUCGGCAGAGUGGCAGGGCUAAUGGGGAGCCUGUCUGGCCAAUCUUGGCCUGACCUAGCCAAGCUGUCACUGUGAUCUGCCCACCCCUGAAUACAAAUUAUUGGAUAGAAGGGAUCCACAGUGCUCUGCUUGGAUUGGCCAUCUACUCAUCUCUGAGCUGACAUCAUUGGCCACCUGCUGCAAAAAUGCAGAGGAACCUUAUCUGAGAUGAAUCCCUCAAAGACUUGCCAGGGUUUGAAAGUCAAUAUAGGCCUCAUAUCUGGUGAACGCAUAACACGUCUUCAGUAAUUGGAUUUUUCCAGUCACACGACAAGCAGGUCUGUGUCAGUCUAUUGACUGGUCUGUGUAAAGCAUCAAUCAUUAACCUGUGCUACUAUGACACGGUGUGACAGGAAGGGAUGUGGAAAAACACACUGCAGUUGUUACACAUCAGCUGCACUGCAUCCGUCCUCUUCCAGGGGACACUGAACUCAGGUUUGUUUUGCAAUAACAUGUAAUCCUGUACCACGGAAUGCUACAGCUCUUGGACCCACUGAGGUGUGUGUCUGGAAACUUGUGUGUGUGUAUUUAUGUGCGUAUGUGUUUUCCCAGCUGCACUGCAUGCUCCACAGUACACCCUAGUGUGGGAUGAUAAGUUGGAGCAGAGUUUUUUGGUGGAUGGGUCACUGCAGUUCACUUCAUUUUUGCUCCUCUGCACUGCUGAAGAAUAUGUUGCAUAAUAAUGAUUUCAAAAAAAAAAAAAAAAAAAAAGCAAAUGAAUCAGGAUUAGGAUUCUCCUUUGCAUCUGUUGGACACUUCUUUGCAGACUGCAUAACUCUUAUCAGGAAGGAUUAGAUUGGCAGAUUGGGGCGGAGCAGAGUUCACCCAAAAAUCCCAUUAAGAGCACAUCAGAAUUUGGGAUAGAUGGAUUGUAUCAUAUUCUGUUGCAUAAGACGACAGAGGAGCCCCUACCUCUUUUCACCCCUGCUGAAACAUUUCUCUUUCUGUCCAAAUGAACGCGCCUCCUGUGAUGUCACAGUGGAAAUGCUCUACUAACGAUGAGACCAAUCAAUACACUCUUUGCUAUGAGUGUGUGAUGUGUGUGUGUGUGUGUGUGUGUGUGUGUGUGUGUGUGCACGCGGGGACAUGCACUUUCUAAUUAUAGUUGGUAAUGAAUGGAUGACCGUGUGCUUUCAGAUAAAUCCAAUAGCACGGACGGGUCAAGGCGACAAGCCAGAGCUCAUUUUUUACACCUCUG